GAGGGUAUAGCUCACUGAUAAAGUACUUGCCUACCAUGCACAAGACUCUGGGUUCAAUUCCCAGCACUUCCA
rnacentral:tRNA from 1 species